UCCAGACUCCUACGGGAGGCAGCAGUGGGGGAUAUUGCACAAUGGGGGGAACCCUGAUGCAGCGACGCCGCGUGGGUGAAGGAGCGUUUCGGCGCGUAAAGCCCUAUCGGCAGGGAAGAAGGAGGACGGUACCUGACUAAGAAGCCCCGGCUAACUACGUGCCAGCAGCCGCGGUAGUACGUAGGGGGCAAGCGUUAUCCGGAUUUACUGGGUGUAAAGGGGGCGCAGACGGCAGCGCAAGCCAGGAGUGAAAGCCCGGGGCCCAACCCCGGGACUGCUCUUGGAACUGCGCGGCUGGAGUGCAGGAGGGGCAGGCGGAAUUCCUGGUGUAGCGGUGAAAUGCGUAGAUAUCAGGAGGAACACCGGUGGCGAAGGCGGCCUGCUGGACUGCGACUGACGUUGAGGCCCGAAAGCGUGGGGAGCAAACAGGAUUAGAUACCCUAGUA
rnacentral:rRNA from 1 species